rnacentral:lncRNA from 1 species
UCAGCGAUUGGCUGAGAGCACCGAAGCCCCGCCCCUUCCGGUGCACCCCGCCCUCUCAGACCCCGCCCGCACGGCGAUGGCUGCCGAUAGCCCCGCCCCUUCCGGUGACCACGCCCCUGUAAGCCCCGCCUCUUCCGAAGACUCCGCCCCAUCUUUGGACAGCGCUCCGUCCCCAGAGGCUGACAUCGAGGAGUGGUUGGAGCUGCUCUUGGAGUCACGUGACUGUGGGGGGUGCCAUCGAGGAACGGGUGGAGCUGCGCCCGGGGCACUUCGAGGUGCUGCUGUGCGCUGAUGUCACCGAGGGCACCGGCCCGGGCCGGUCCCGCGGGGCGCUGCCCCCCCUGCAGGCUGUGGGGCAGCGGGUGGAGCUGCGCCGGUUGCCGGUCGGUGACUUCCUGUGGGUGGCACGAGAGACAGAUCCGCCCCCAGGUGGGCGGGACUUCCGGCGGGAGGGACUUCCGGUGGGCGUAGUGGGCGGGGCUAUGGGUGGGUGUGCGGGGUGUUGUGAAUGGU